CCUACGGGGGGCAGCAGUGAGGAAUAUUGGUCAAUGGGCGCGAGCCUGAACCAGCCAAGUCGCGUGAGGGAUGACUGCCCUACGGGUUGUAAACUUCUUUUAUCAAGGAAUAAAGUGCGGCACGUGUGCCUUUUUGUAUGUACUUUAUGAAUAAGCAUCGGCUAACUCCGUGCCAGCAGCCGCGGUAAUACGGAGGAUCCGAGCGUUAUCCGGAUUUAUUGGGUUUAAAGGGUGCGGAGAUGGGUUGUUAAGUCAGUUGUGAAAGUUUGCGGCUCAACCGUAAAAGUGCAAUUGAUACUGGCAGCCUUGAGUACAGUAGAGGUAGGCGGAAUUCGUGGUGUAGCGGUGAAAUGCUUAGAUAUCACGAAGAACUCCGAUUGCGAAGGCAGCUUACUAAACUGCCACUGACAUUGAUGCUCGAAAGUGUGGGUAUCAAACAGGAUUAGAUACCCCUGUAGUC
rnacentral:rRNA from 1 species